rnacentral:rRNA from 1 species
AGUGAACGCUGGCGGUAGGCCUAACACAUGCAAGUCGAACGGCAGCACAGUAAGAGCUUGCUCUUACGGGUGGCGAGUGGCGGACGGGUGAGGAAUACAUCGGAAUCUACUUUUUCGUGGGGGAUAACGUAGGGAAACUUACGCUAAUACCGCAUACGACCUACGGGUGAAAGCAGGGGAUCUUCGGACCUUGCGCGAUUGAAUGAGCCGAUGUCGGAUUAGCUAGUUGGCGGGGUAAAGGCCCACCCAGGCGACGAUCCGUAGCUGGUCUGAGAGGAUGAUCAGCCACACUGGAACUGAGACACGGUCCAGACUCCUAAGGGAGGCAGCAGUGGGGAAUAUUGGACAAUGGGCGCAAGCCUGAUCCAGCCAUACCGCGUGGGUGAAGAAGGCCUUCGGGUUGUAAAGCCCUUUUGUUGGGAAAGAAGAGCAGCAGGUUAAUACCACGCUGUUCUGACGGUACCCAAAGAAUAAGCACCGGCUAACUUCGUG